rnacentral:antisense_RNA from 1 species
GAACACACCACGGAGGAGUGGGGCUCCCGCACCCCCAGGAGGCCGCCUGCUACCAGGACCAGCGUGCAGGGCACCUCCAAGAAGUGAUUUACCGCUGUCCUGAGCAAUGCUUCUCAGAACUCCUCAUCUGCAGCCGCGGGAUUAGCUUAUCUCUCAGGGCCACCUGCCCUGCCCUCGGGCCGGGAGGGCUGGCUCAGACAUCUCCUUGGCACAGUCAGCCAUGGGAUAUUUCCUCUCCUCCCAGCCGCAGGGGGAGGCGAAGAGACCGCAAAGAGGUUCCAGUUCUCAGGCCAACGCUUCCUCGCUGGAAGUGGCUGCUUGGAACACUGUCUGGAGAACGAGCCGAGGCUGCCGGGCGGCCCACGAGCCCAGGGGACCAGUCGGUCUUGGCGCUGGAGUGAGAGGAGCAGCACGUGGGUUUGAAAUCUAUGAACUCUGAGGGGAGUGACCACGUGUUCUUUCCAGAUCAGAUCGUGGUCUGACAAUGGGAUGGACUGCCUAGAACCCUGACCCUCUUUGGCUGGGCUCUGCUGGAAACAGGCUCUGAGACUAGGAUUUGAGUACAAGUGGUUGGUCGGAAGAUCAUUCUGAGAAGUACAGAGAGAAGUGGGGAAGAGAAACGGGAAGGGAAGGAAGCCAGGCCAGGUGAAGUUGAGGAGCAGGCCACUGUUGUGGACAUCUGGGUUCAUGGACAUCUCUGGGGACAUCAGGGGGUUCCAGCCUGUGGGAACCUCUGGGUGAUGGUGCCAAAUACAUCUCAAGGUUUUCCUGCCCAAAGGG